UUUUUUUUUUUUGCCAAGCCGCUCUAGCAACGGAUUUGGAAACACAUGAAUUCCUCGCCGCUCAUGAAAGCAACCUGCCUCGACUCUCCAAUGACUACAAUAACGUCACCAUCAAGCACACCAGCGUGGUGAUCAAUAUGAGAUUGAUAAUGGCUGAGUGAGGAACUGGGCAGCAGGAUCGUCAUCCUGUGAUGCCCAAACACAGUGGUCAGACCCAGGGAUGGAGGAUCACCUAUUCUUCAGCAAUCGCUUGUGAAAUGCAUACACCACCACAGGUGGCACACCCGCUUGCUGACAACAUAAUAGAGACUGAUGCCGUCUCCCGUCUGUCUACAGGGACUCCACUCGAAGAAUUUCGAACACAACCUGCCCACAACCAUUUGCUCCUGCUUAAACGCAAUGCCAGUUGUGGACCAAAUUCCUAUGGCUUUGAUCAAGGGUACUCGCGUGUUGGAGAUGAGGUGAUGGGUGACCGUGCAUUCACUUUGAGGGACUUGCUGCAGAGGAUGCCAGGCCAGCUAACUAGCGAGGGGGUCACACAUACACGCCACAUUGCUCAAGUUCGCCAGGCGUCUGAAGGUCGAUAAGAUUCUCUGAUAAACGGUGCCAAUCAGCUUGGUUCCCAAAAUGGACUCAAAAUCUGUGCUGGUUCAAUGAGUUUACAAGCUGAGCUUAUUUCAAGUGAACAAGAAGAAGAAAUUUAAUGUUGCAUCAAAAUAUAGUAUUGGAAACACACUUUUCCUUGUCACAAAACCAAACUGCAGAUGUCUUAUUUUCCCACAUGCUGUGCUCUUGUUUGUUUGCAUGUAACAUACAUAACACCCCUUAAGUCAGGGUGGGCCACAUCGGUGAACCCACAUAUGUUCUGUAUAAUAGCUAGAGGUGUAACGGUACGCCAAAAGUCAAUUGGUUUUAAGGUCACAGUUUGGUCACAUGCUGUACCGUAGGGGUCGGCAACUAGCGGCCCACUUUGACUAGAACACUG